AGAAUUCCUGCCUGAAGCCUACAGGAAGGAGCUCUGCUGACUCCUGGAAACCCCUAAGGAUCCACUGGAUGGAGUCCUGACAGCUAUGGAAAUGAAACUAUGGUAAUCAUGACUAGAGAUGACUGAGGAGGUCUUAGGAUGAAUUUCAAAACUGCUGAACAUCCUUUAGGCACAAAGCUUUAUUGGCCAACAGGGAGAAGCUUGAACCACCUCCAAAGAUGGGCAACCAUUUGUCUGAAAAGCUCCACAAGAAUAUCCACUCCAGCCACUUUUGCGCAG